ACAAGCCUUGACAAUGUCUGGGGCUUAAGAUGAUUUCAGAGCUCACAAACAUUUCCAUACAGAUUGAGAUCAGGAAUGCCAAAUCUGAGUGUGGAGAGAAUUGCUCUUGCCAAGUUACACAGCAUGGAAAAUAAACCCUUGUAACAGAAGCACUCCUAGGAGCUGCUGCAUGGCUAGGGGUGCUGUAGCAGCAUCCUGCAGACAGGGUCCUGCUUUUCCCAAGAUACGUAAAAGCUUGUUAACACAAGAAUGCAAGGACAAAUCUUCAGCAAGGAAGGAAUAACAACAGUAAUUGAAGAUGCUAAAUCUUCAGCAGAUGAUCAUCACAUUCCAAAAGUGAGUUGUUCUUAAACACAAAUAGCCACAAGGAUGGAUGUCAGGAGGAGCAAAUUCCAGUGCUUCCAUGAGCAUUCCUGCUUCUUAGUGUUUCAAGACCAAACAAGGCUUAGGUGAAGGUACCUCCCUGCCUCUCCAGCCUCUUCACAGGUUUGAAACAAUAACAAAAGAAAAAGAUUAUGUUUGGCUCAAAAUCCUCUGCUAUCACAGGUAGGAAAUUUGUCCUAUUAGUGAAGAGCACAGAGGCAUUUCUAAUUCCGGACACCACGUAUUUCCCAGCACCAUUAAAAUCUGCUGAUUAA